rnacentral:rRNA from 1 species
GACAGAGGGUGCAAACGUUGUUCGGAAUUACUGGGCGUAAAGCGCGUGUAGGCGGGUCUUUAAGUCAGGGGUGAAAUGCCAAGGCUCAACCUUGGAACUGCCUUUGAUACUGGAGAUCUUGAGUCCGGGAGAGGUGAGUGGAAUUGCGAGUGUAGAGGUGAAAUUCGUAGAUAUUCGCAAGAACACCAGUGGCGAAGGCGGCUCACUGGCCCGGAACUGACGCUGAGACGCGAAAGCGUGGGGAGCAAACAGG